AUGAAUAUUAAUAAUCAUAUUUUCUUACUCAGAGAUGUUCAGAUAUGGAAAGAGAAUGUCUUUACUUUGGUUUAAUCAGAUACAAAAACAAGUCGACUUGUGGAUACUGCCCACUUUUGUAAGUGAUCUAAACAGCAAGCUUUGAAGAGCUGAUAGACUGUCAUUUCCUCAAAAGGAUCUCUACAUACAGUGUGAAAAAAAUAAGAGAAGAAAUGGAAGACUAGAGGCAAGGAGAUGACAGAAUAAACUGUAGUGUUAAUCCAGAUAAGACAUUGAAGAGCUAAACCAGGAUUUUGGUAAGACGGAUGGAGAGAUGUGGAUGGAUCUGGAUGCUACCAAGAAGGUCAAAUUCAGCAGUGCUUACAGGCAUACCUUGGAAACAUUGCAGAUUUAGUUCUAGAACACCACAGUAAAGCAAAUAUUGCAAGAAAAUGAAUCACAUGAAUUUUGGGUUUCCCAGCACACAUAAAAGUCAUGUUUAUACUAUACUAUAGUCUAAGUGUGUAAUAGCAUUAUGUAUUUUAAAAGUACAUGCCUUAAUUAAAAAAUAUUUUAUUGCU
rnacentral:lncRNA from 1 species